CGAACCUUCAAGAUGUAAGUAGUGGUUUGCGGAAAAAUAUGAAAUACCUGGGGUGAUUGGAUGCGUAGACGGAACACACAUUGGUUUAAAAAAGCCAAUUAGAGACAAGCACAUGUACUUCAACAGGAAAGAUAGCCAUAGUCUUAACGUUAUGCUAAUUUGUGACCACACUUGCAAAAUUCUUGCAAUAAAUUGUCAAUAUAGAGGUGCAGCCAUGACU